rnacentral:rRNA from 1 species
UACGGAGGGUGCAAACGUUGCUCGGAAUCAUUGGGCGUAAAGCGCACGUAGGCGGUCCACUAAGUUGGAUGUGAAAGCCCCGGGCUCAACCCGGGAAGUGCAUACAAAACUGGUGGACUUGAAUAUGGAAGAGGGUCGCGGAAUUCCCGGUGUAGAGGUGAAAUUCGUAGAUAUCGGGAGGAAUACCAGUGGCGAAGGCGGUCUGCUGGGCCGUUGCUGACGCUGAGGCGCGACAGCGUGGGGAGCAAACAGG